UACGUAGGGUGCGAGCGUUAAUCGGAAUUACUGGGCGUAAAGCGUGCGCAGGCGGUUCGUGAUGUCUGAUGUGAAAGCCCCGGGCUCAACCUGGGAAUUGCAUUGGAAACUAGCGUGCUGGAGUGUGGCAGAGGGGGGUGGAAUUCCACGUGUAGCAGUGAAAUGCGUAGAGAUGUGGAGGAACACCGAUGGCGAAGGCAGCCCCCUGGGCUAACACUGACGCUCAUGCACGAAAGCGUGGGGAGCAAACAGG
rnacentral:rRNA from 1 species